GAUGAACGCUGGCGGCGCGCCUAACACAUGCAAGUCGAACGAUUAAAGCACCUUCGGGUGUGUAUAAAGUGGCGAACGGCUGAGUAACACGUGGGCAACCUGCCCCUUUCAUUGGGAUAGCCACGGGAAACCGUGGAUAAUACCGAAUACUUCGAGACUUCUGCAUGGAAGACUCGAGAAAGCUCCGGCGGAGAGGGAUGGGCCCGCGGCCUGUUAGCUUGUUGGUGGGGUAACGGCCUACCAAGGCAAUGAUGGGUAGCUGGGUUGAGAGACCGACCAGCCAGAUUGGGACUGAGACACGGCCCAGACUCCUACGGGAGGCAACAGUGGGGAAUCUUGCACAAUGGGCGAAAGCCUGAUGCAGCGACGCCGCGUGCGGGAUGAAGGCCUUCGGGUGGUAAACCGCUUUCAGCAGGGACGAGGCGAAAGUGGCGGUACCGGCAGAAGAAGCCCCGGCUAACUACGU
rnacentral:rRNA from 1 species